rnacentral:misc_RNA from 1 species
GAUGAAGAACGUAGCGAAAUGCGAUAAGUAAUGUGAAUUGCAGAAUUCAGUGAAUCAUCGAAUCUUUGAACGCACCUUGCACCCUUUGGCAUUCUGAAGGGUAUGCUCGUUUGAGUGUCAUUGUACUCUCACACUCCCGAUCUUUGCAUUGGGAGCAGUGGACUUGGGUUUGCUGCUUCACCGUCGCUUACCUCAAAUAGGUUAGUGCAACUCUUGGUUGGACAUAGUACGGCGUGAUAAGUGUCUUCGCCGGCACCUCAUAUGAGGGUGGCCGAUCGGGAGCUCUGUGCUUUCAAACCGUCUUCGGACAACGCUGACAACUUGACCUCAAAUCGAGUAGGACUACCCGCUGAACUUAAGCAUAUCAAUAAGCGGAGGA